rnacentral:misc_RNA from 1 species
GAUGAAGAACGUAGCGAAAUGCGAUAAGUAAUGUGAAUUGCAGAAUUCAGUGAAUCAUCGAAUCUUUGAACGCACCUUGCGCCUUUUGGUAUUCCGAAAGGCACACCUGUUUGAGCGUCAUGAAUACCUCAAUCUCCAUCUUUUCUUCGGAUUGAUGGGUGACUUGGAUGUUGAGCCCUGCUGGUAUGCUAUAUCAGCUGGCUUUAAACUUAUUAGACGGCUCUGUACUGGAUCGGUUUGACUCGACGUGAUAAUAUUAUCGUUGAGGAUGCAUGUCUCAUGCAGCCGGAAAGUAUCAAAGCAGCUUCUAGCUUGCCUUUAGUGCACUUUUACAUUUUAGACCUCAGAUCAGGUGGGACUACCCGCUGAACUUAAGCAUAUCAAUAAGCGGAGGA